UUUCCUACGGGACGCAGCAGUGGGGGAUAUUGGACAAUGGGGGAAACCCUGAUCCAGCGAUGCCGCGUGAGGGAAGAAGGUUUUCGGAUUGUAAACCUCUGUGGAGGGGGACGAUAAUGACGGUACCCCUUUAGGAAGCCACGGCUAACUACGUGCCAGCAGCCGCGGUAAUACGUAGGUGGCAAGCGUUGUCCGGAUUUAUUGGGCGUAAAGCGAGUGCAGGCGGUGCA
rnacentral:rRNA from 1 species